rnacentral:lncRNA from 1 species
CCACGUCCCCUUGCACGCCCAGGGGCUCCUCCCGUUGCACACUCGGCGCCUCUUGCACGCCCGGGUCCGGCGCCACGUUCGCGUCUCGUUGCACAAUCAUCGCCUCUUGCACAAUCAUCGCCUCUUGCACAAUCACGUCCUGUUGCACGCCCGCCUCCGCCGCCUGUUGCACGCCCAGGAGCUCCCCUUGCACGCCCGGCUCCCAUUGCACGCCCGGCUCCCAUUGCACGCCCAGCUCCAGCUGCCGUUGCACGCCCAGCUCCUGUUGCACGCUCAGCUUCCUCUGGAUCUCCACCUCCCGUUGCACGCCCAGCUCCUGUUGCACGCUCAGCCGCCGCUGCGCCUCCAGCUGUUGCACGCUCAGCUUGCGCUGCUGCUGUUGCACGCUCAGAUCCCGCCGGGCGCCCAGGUCCAUCUCCUGUUGCACACUCAGCUCCCGUUGCACGCUCACGUCCCACCGGAUGCCCACGUCCACGUCCCGGCGCCCGCUGUCCACGUCCCGUUGCACACUCAGCGCACACCCGCCGCACACCCGCGCGCCCCCAAAUCCCCUUGCACGCCCAGGUUCCCUUGCACAAUCGGGUGCCAGGGUGCACUCGGGUCCUGUUGCACACUUGGAUCCUGUUGCACACUCAGAUCCUCUCACACUCCCAUAUCCGGGUCCUUUUGCACACAGAUCCUGUUGCACAGUGGGAUCCCGUUGCACACCCAGAUCUCGUUGCACACUCGGAUCCUUUCACAGUCUUAAGUUCAGAUCCUGUUGCACACUCGGAUCCUGUUGCACACCUGGAUCCCGUUACAUUCCCACAUCCAGGUCCCGUUGCACACUCGGAUCCCUUUGCACACUUGGAUCCCGUUGCACACUGGGAUCUUGUUACACAUUCAGAUCCCAUUGCACACUCACAUCCUGUUACAUUCCCGUGUCCAGAUCCCAUUGCACACUCAGAUCCUGUUACAUUCCCUUGUCCAGAUCCCGUUGCACACUCGGAUCCCGUUGCACACUCGGAUCCUUUCACAGUCUCAAGUCCAGAUCCCGUGGCACACUCGGAUCCCUUGGCACACACGGAUCCCGUUACACACCUGGAUCCUGUUGCACACUGAGAUCCCAUUGCACACCUGGACCCCGUUGCACACUCACCUCCCCCCUCUCUCCCUCUUUCCCUCACACCUGGGGGUCCCUCCCUCACAUCUGGGGGUCUCUCAUUGACACCUGAGGGUCCCUUUUUGGUACCUGAAGGUAUGUCCCUCACACCUGGGAGUCUCUCAUUGACACCUGAGGGUCCCUUUUCGGUACCUGAAGACCCCUCCCUCACACCUGGGGGUCUCUCCUCGGUACGUGAGGGUCCCUCUCUCACACCUGAGGGUCCCUCUUUGGUACCUGAAGGUGUCUCCCUCACACCUGGGGCUCUCUCCUUGGUACCUGGGAGUGUCCCCCUCACACCUGGGAGUGUCCCCCUCACACCUGGGGAUGUCUCCUCGGUACCUGGGGGUCCCUUCUCUGUACCUGGGGAUCUCUCCCUCACACCUGGCGAGGUCUCCUCGCUACCUGAGCCUCUCACCCCAUCACCUGCCCGCUUCCUCCUCCCACCCCGUUCCCUCCCGCAGGCACCGGAGCCCCUCCCACCGUUCCCCAAGCCCCUCCCACCCGCCCAGGUGCGCGGCCAUCACCUCUCGAGGAAGAGGCGCAGGGCGCGGUCGAUGUUCAUGCGGUGCCCGACGCGGGUGACGCCCAGGUCGAUGUAAUCCUCCUUGGUGAGCGCGGGCAGGUGCGUGCCGUCGAUCUCGUUGUGCAGGAAGCGCGCCCGGUGCUCGCCCAGGUUCAGCGACUCCAGCCAGUCCGCCACGUCGAACUUGCUCCAAAAAGCCAAAGGUUUCGCCCCAAAAGGCUUGGCGGGGGCGGGGCCGCCCGUGAUUGACGCGGCGGUGGCGGCGCGGGGCGGGGACAGCGAGCGCAGCUCCAGGUAAGAAGAGGCGGAGCUUCCUCCUACUCCUCCUCCUCCUCCGCCGUACAGGUGAGCCGCAGGUAAGGUGGGCAGGGAGGCGGGGCGGGGGGCGGGGCUUCCGCGGCGCUCCGAGGGCGGAGGGGCGGGGCUGGGCGCGCGCCGGAGGGGCGGGCGCACGUCCAGGUCUCCGCCCACGGCCACGCCCACCGAGGGUUUGGGGGGAGGGGGCGGCCAAUGGGGGAAGAGGGCGGAGCUCGGGGGGAGGGGCUUGGUGGGCGUGGUGGAGGAGGAGGG